UACGGAGGGAGCUAGCGUUAUUCGGAAUUACUGGGCGUAAAGCGUACGUAGGCGGCUUUGUAAGUUAGAGGUGAAAGCCUGGAGCUCAACUCCAGAACUGCCUUUAAGACUGCAUCGCUUGAAUCCAGGAGAGGUGAGUGGAAUUCCGAGUGUAGAGGUGAAAUUCGUAGAUAUUCGGAAGAACACCAGAGGCGAAGGCGGCUCACUGGACUGGUAUUGACGCUGAGGUACGAAAGCGUGGGGAGCAAACAGG
rnacentral:rRNA from 1 species